CCUCCCACAGCCUUCCCCAGAUGGGGUCGCAAAGGCACCCCUGGCUUUAAAGGGUCUCCAAAGACAGGCACAAAGAAAAGGGAGCCGGGAAUAGCUGUGGGGUGGGCCAGUCGAUUGUGAUGGUCAAAGUUACCGUUUAUGGAGCGCCUAUUAUGUGCACAUGGUAUGUUCGAGAAGCUUCUCCCACACGGUCUUGUUCUGUGGCAUCUGUGCACUGUGCUAUGUUGGCAGACGGGGAGGCAGGUGUUGAGAGGGGUGGGUGUGGCCAGUAACUAGAAUCACCAGCAUCCCUGCGGUUGGUUCAGCACAUACCAUAUACUGAGUACAAGGCCGGCCACUUGACUUUCAUUCUUUGACUGAUCCUCACCAUGCCCUCCCUCUCAGGGUAGCAUGUGAAUCCCUGUCCUAUGGGUGCAGGGCGAGGGCACCCAGCCAGCCGGUGGCCGGGCCAGGCGAGGGCACAGACUCCCGGACUCUCGGCCAGAGCUCGCCCCAGACCCACUGCACGUGGCCUGUGACCCAGCUGACCCUGGGGGCCCUGCCUUCCUCCAGCAUUACAGUUCUUGUCCACCAAUGGGGGAGGCAGAGCUGGUGGCUAGUGGGCCCCCGCCUGUUACCACUUGAAGGUCAAGUUGCCUCAAAUCACUCUUACAAGGAAGGUGAGAGAGCAUUCAACCAUCAUCAGCCACUGACACCGAACAGAGCCUAGAACAGGUCCGGUACUGGCUGCUGCACGCACACGACAGUCACUGUGCUUUCCCCACCAAAAGGCCUAGGAGAUCGUGGGCAUGGUACCCUCGUUUUGAGACAUGGGAGCACAGAAAUUAAGCAGCGUGACCAAAGGUCACACGGCUAGUAAGUGGCAGAGCCAGGAUUUGAACCCAGGCAGCUCGCUUUCUGGGUUCAUAUUGGUGAAAUUUGCCUUGCCAUGGUCCCUACCUGAGUCUGCCUUACUUAUUUAUAAAUCACACCCAGCCUGUUUCUCCGGAGAAUUAGAGCUGAAUUCCAACACAGGCACAGGGUCGCUAAAAUCAAAAAGAGAGAUGGGAAGAGGAAAACCAGUGUCCCUGAAGCCAGGGGACGAGAUGCUCAUGGUAGCUGAGGGCUAACUUGAAUGCUGAGCUUCCUGGCAGCCAAGGCAAAAGGAGAAAUAGUGGUUUCGGUAAAUGAAAGGAAGUUCGCUUGGCGAUCAGACAGGAAGGCAGUGUUUAAGGGAGGGAAACUCUUUCCAGUGAAAGCUCGUGAGAUCCAGUCUUCAUUUCAGCCCUCUCGGCACCCAGGGCUUCUCUGAGACCCAGUCCGUGGUACCUUAUAAUCAGGGUGAAUAAAAACAGGGCCCCAGUGAGUUCCUGUGAUUCAGAAGCUGGUCGACUCUAUAAGGUUUUUGAGCGGUCCCUUUCUCAUCCUCUGUGUGUUUCCCCAUCUACGUUAACAAAGAUGGCGCCCACGUACCGUCAUCUAUCGGAUGACAAGCACAUGCCAGGAGCCGAGUAGUAACUUGGUACUUGGUUCAGUUGUACGAGCAUUUUCCAACUGAAGAAACUGAGGCUGAGAAAAGCAAAAUGACUUUUAGACACAGCCACACAUGACUCGGAUGCGUCACAGUGGAGAAUUCCACCCCGAUCCCUCUGACCCAAGGCCCGUGCCUCCCGCUACAGUAGGCUGCCUCCCUGUGGGCUGGCAUAAUCUCUGCCUGGCCAGUGACCGGGAGCUAUGCCUCAGAGGCGUCCCACAGCCCCAGAGCGAGGCCUGUUUGGAGAAUCGGGACUCCCGACUCCAGUCCGGACCGUCACACCCCACUGUUCCCUCCUCUGCCUCCUGCUUACCACACCCCACCCCCCCUCGGGCUCCACAUCUCAUGCCUCCGGGUCCCAGCCUGCCUCAGCUUGGCCCCCCUCUUCUCCUGGAAGGCAGAGGGAUGUUUCCUGGCUCUGCUGGGGAAGUUCUGGCCCCACUCUAUCACCCCGAGUUGGAACGAAUGAUUUAUUUUUACUUUCCCAGCACACUGUAAAUCCCGGUGGAAGACUAAACAUGCCCUUGAUGAUGUUUAUUCCUGCAGAUGAGGUCCAGCUGGGGAGGGCACGCUGGCCCCAAGGGCCACCUCGGAGCGCUCUGCUGAGGAUGAAGACUGUCGCCGCGUGGGAAGGGCAUAGCGUCGUGCCCGCCCAGGGCGGACAUCUGCUGGCUCCGUUGCAAGGGUCUACCGCGAUUGUCCCCGUCAUUAACUUCACUGAUGCUUAGUAAGGGCUCAGUAAAUGGCGGCUGUACCUGUU